CACUAUCUCACAUAUGUUUAUUUCUAGAUUGUCAUGGAUCCCUCCUAGUGAAUUCUGUGAUGUGUGAGAGGUUGAACAAGUAUAGAAAUUUGCUUAUAAAAAAUAAGCCAUGUUGUAGGUGGGAAGUAAAAGGAGAAAACAUGCAAAAGUCCUCAUCUAAACUUGUAUAUGCUGAUACUACACAAGGUUAUUUCAGUGAUGUCUGGUUUGCGGCAGGGAAGCAACUUUUCUUAUACACUAUGACACAAAGUUCAUCAAAUAUGGUUGUUAUAGACUUUGAGAACACCCAAAUUUAUCUUAGUAAUUUCUACAUUGAAAAACUACUGUUACCUUUAAGCAAAACUAUUCAUUGCAAUAAAUCUGAAAUAGUUCUUUAAUAUUGCAGAACAGAAAAUUGGUGGCAUUAUUCACUGAAUGCCAAUAUUUUCCAAUAACACCUAUAGGGGUACUUAACAAAAUGCAUAGAUAAUUAAAGAGUGAAAUGACACCCAGAAACAACUAAUUAUAGUAAAAAUUAUUAUUACCUUAUUUCAAAUACUAGUGCACACUUUUGCUUUUUUUCCCAAAAGUUAAUUUUUUUAACCUUUUGGUAUGAUAUUUCACUUCAUUUAUAUAACAUGAUAAAUAGUAUGUUUUUUUUUCAUAUGCACUCUCUGAUGCACCCCAAAUAUAUUUGCAUAUCCCAAGACCUUAGCAGAUUUCUAAACACAUUAUUCAUUAGAGAAACAGUAGUCACUUCUGAAAUCUAUAUUGCCCUUUUCAAAUGAGGUCUUGCAUUUUUUUUCAAAUAUCUGAAAUAAUUAGGAUGAACUUUAUUCUCAUUAGCAUAUAGUAAAUGCUUGAUAAAUAUUUGUGAAAAGGAUGAAGAAAUAAUAAGAGCAUUCAUAUAAUCUGUACAAUAUGGUAUGUGGUAUUUCAUGUUUUUAGCUACAACUUAUGGAAUAUUAUAACAAUCUUACUAUGUGGGUAAGAUAUGGGUAUGAUGAACCAAUAAUAAAUAAAAAUUGCAUGCUGCAUUGUUAGUAAUUCACCAAACAAUUUUUUUCAAAAAC
rnacentral:lncRNA from 1 species